rnacentral:rRNA from 1 species
CCCUUAGAUGUUCUGGGCUGCACGCGCGCUACACUGAUUCAUGCAACAAGUUUUGUCCUUGGCUGAUAGGCCUGGGUAAUCUUUGAACGUGAAUCGUGAUGGGGAUAGAUGAUUGCAAUUAUUCAUCUUCAACGAGGAAUUCCUAGUAAACGCAAGUCAUCAGCUUGCAUUGAUUACGUCCCUGCCCUUUGUACACACCGCCCGUCGCACCUACCGAUUGAAUGGUCCGGUGAAAUCUUCGGAUCUGAGAGAUGUCUGAUUAAUUUCGGACGCCUUUUGGAAAAGUUGUUUAAACCUUNCNAUUUAGNGGAAGGUGAANUCGUANCA